AACGAACGCUGGCGGCAGGCUUAACACAUGCAAGUCGAACGCCCCGCAAGGGGAGUGGCAGACGGGUGAGUAACGCGUGGGAACGUGCCCUUCGCUUCGGGAUAGCCCCGGGAAACUGGGAGUAAUACCGGAUACGCCGUAUUGGGAAAGAUUUAUCGGCGAAGGAUCGGCCCGCGUUGGAUUAGCUAGUUGGAGGUGUAAUGGACCCCCAAGGCUACGAUCCAUAGCUGGUCUGAGAGGAUGAUCAGCCACACUGGGACUGAGACACGGCCCAGACUCCUACGGGAGGCAGCAGUGGGGAAUCUUGGACAAUGGGCGCAAGCCUGAUCCAGCCAUGCCGCGUGAGUGAAGAAGGCCUUAGGGUUGUAAAACUCUUUCGCCGGAGAAGAUAAUGACGGUAUCCGGAGAAGAAGCCCCGGCUAACUUCGUGCCAGCAGCCGCCGUAAGAC
rnacentral:rRNA from 1 species